AAAACGGUCUCCUUCUUUAAAGGGACUGCUGCUGCUUUGUUGUUGUGCGUCCGAGUAACCCGCCGGGUGGAAACACAGAGCGCUGAUCAAAACCAGGACACGCAGUCGAAGGGAAGCUGUCCGCUCAUUUGAGUGGAUUUUAAUGGAGAAGAAAAAGCUUCAAAGCUCUGUCAUCCUUUGGCCAGCAGACAGUGAUGAUGAGCAGGAGAGGACGUGAUUUACAGUGUCCACAGUCCCAUCACCACAUUUGGAUUUUUCUGUUUGAGGCAACUAUUUGUGCCUCACUGGCUCAGCUUCCUCUACGUUGUCGGUGAGGAUAAGUCCCUGUUCAUAAUCUGCUC